AUCACGGGUUCUUUUGCAAAUCUUAUUCCUGCCGCAUUCGUGCCCCGAAGGAGCCGUACUGAAUUCCGUAAAUGCUCAAGUUGCCUCGACGGCCCGGCUCAUCGAACGGCUUGGACACGUCAGCCCCCCAGCCCUCUGAGUCGCUUGAGGAGCCGGGCCACCCUCGAGACACAAGGCUGCCUUCACGGCAGCCUUUUC
rnacentral:sRNA from 1 species